GCGGAGCCUGGGCGGGGGAUGGCGGGAGGAGGCAUUGACUGAAGUGUAGAGAUAUGGAGAAAACAGCGCGAUAGCAGAUCCCAGAGCGUUUGGGUGGCAGCGCGAUGUACGUUAGGCUCGAAUUGAAGCCUAACUGCCAGUAGAUCUGAUGGGAGGAAGAAACGAGAGUGGUGGUACACAGCUGGAUACGCAUCCAACAGAACACAAGUGCAGGCGAUCCUCGGCACAAGACUGUGUGGUCUAAUGCUACGCUGUGAAGCCCAUGUAAUGUAAUGAGAGAAUUCCUGAUGAUUUUCAGUGGGAGUUUGUCAGGCCUGUCAAUAAGUGAAGCUCUGAUUCUCUCUUGAUUAGUUCUUUAUCUUCAGAUCAUAAUAUUAAAAAGCUAGGGGGAACAAAGAUAAUCUUUUUGUAGCUCUUUUUCAGUUAGCUUUCACACUGACGGGUUAGGCAGCAGUGAAAAUAUAAACUGCUUUCACUUGUCUCAUCUGUUCUCAUUCAGCCUGUUGCUGUACUCUAUGUGAGGUAUACGUGGUGCAAGUUCUUUGUUGGCAAGACAAAGAAAUAAAUGAGUGUUGCUCAUCUGAUGUUACAUGAAGCUAAUGAAAUACUGAUCACAUGCUUCACCACAUUCACAGCAAAUAAAAGGAAUUUGCAUUUGGAAAUACUUAUGUCGUCUGUCACUGGGAGACAACUCUUCUGAAGGUGCUAUCCCUCAGCAACACUGAGGUAUUUCUGCAGCUUUUAGGAAGGCAAAUAGAAGGUGAACAUUAAAUGGAAAGCAAAAUUAUUGAGGCAGAGACUGGAGAGUUGUGUGCAUUCUGAGCCUGAUGGAGAAACAUCUGGAUUUCAAAGCUGUUUGUUGAGUUCAGUGCUGCUUACUGUAACGAAGGGUAAUCUGCACAAAGAAUGUUUAAGAGCAUGAAACCCCUGUUCCAAAGCAGUGUGAGGCUGCUGAAAUCCCUAGGGUCAUGCAGGGGGAAUUCCUAUACAGAAAAUCAGUUGGUUCAGUGGAAUAAACCUCAUUUCUGUUUCCUUGCUUGGCCUUGCUCAGUUGUGGUUAAAUGAGGAAAGCGGAUGAUAGCCAUCUGGUAAUCUUGCUGCUGACAGGCCCGGCUGGGAGUCCUGGCUUGUCCUCUUACCAGUGCCUCCUGCAGGGACAAGCUGAGCAUUUGGGAACAGAAAUGGAAUGUUCCACAGUUUAGAAAAGGUACAGCAAGAUGGCUGUUCUACCACUGAGUGCUACUGGGAGAGGACCUGCAGCAGUCAGUCUGUUUGCUCAUCUCCACCAUGCUCUUGACUCAGACAGCAAACUACCUACUAUGAA